GGUCCGAGUUGUAAUUUGUAGAGGAUGCUUUUGGUGAGGUGCCUUCCGAGUUCCCUGGAACGGGACGCCGGAGAGGGUGAGAGCCCCGUACGGUUGGACGCCGAGCCUCUAUAUAGCUCCUUCGACGAGUCGAGUAGUUUGGGAAUGCUGCUCUAAAUGGGAGGUAAAUUUCUUCUAAAGCUAAAUACCGGCCAGAGACCGAUAGCGCACAAGUAGAGUGAUCGAAAGAUGAAAAGCACUUUGAAAAGAGGGUUAAAUAGCACGUGAAAUUGUUGAAAGGGAAGCGUUUGCGACCAGACUUUUUCCAGGCGGAUCAUCCGGUGUUUUCACCGGUGCACUUCGCCUGGUUUAGGCCAGCAUCGGUUUCCUUAGGGGGAUAAAGGCUUGGGGAACGUAGCUCCUUCGGGAGUGUUAUAGCCCCUUGCGUAAUACCCCUCGGGGGACCGAGGAACGCGCUUCGGCAAGGAUGCUGGCGUAAUGGUCGUCAACGACCCGUCUUGAAACACGGACCAAGGAGUCGAACAUUUGUGCGAGUGUUUGGGUGUCAAACCCUCACGCGUAAUGAAAGUGAACGGAGGUGAGAGCCCUUACGGGUGCAUCAUCGACCGAUCCUGAUGUCUUCGGAUGGAUUUGAGUAAGAGCAUAACUGUUCGGACCCGAAAGAUGGUGAACUAUGCGUGGAUAGGGUGAAGCCAGAGGAAACUCUGGUGGAGGCUCGCAGCGGUUCUGACGUGCAAAUCGAUCGUCAAAUCUGCGCAUGGGGGCGAAAGACUUAUCGAACCAUCUAGUAGCUGGUUACCGCCGAAGUUUCCCUCAGGAUAGCAGUGUUGUCUUCAGUUUUAUGAGGUAAAGCGAAUGAUUAGGGACUCGGGGGCGCUAUAUUGCCUUCAUCCAUUCUCAAACUUUAAAUAUGUAAGAAGCCCUUGUUACUUAAUUGAACGUGGGCAUUCGAAUGUACCAA
rnacentral:rRNA from 1 species